CGCGAUUCGCCCUUCGGGGUGCAGCAGGCGCGAAAACUUUACAAUGCGGGAAACCGUGAUAAGGGGACACCGAGUGCCAGCAUCAUAUGCUGGCUGUCCAGGUGUGUAAAAUACACCUGUCAGCAAGGGCCGGGCAAGACCGGUGCCAGCCGCCGCGGUAACACCGGCGGCCCGAGUGGUGAUCGUGAUUAUUGGGUCUAAAGGGUCCGUAGCCGGUUUGGUCAGUCCUCCGGGAAAUCUGACGGCUCAACCGUUAGGCUUUCGGGGGAUACUGCCAGGCUUGGAACCGGGAGAGGUAAGAGGUACUACAGGGGUAGGAGUGAAAUCUUGUAAUCCCUGUGAGACCACCUGUGGCGAAGGCGUCUUACCAGAACGGGUUCGACGGUGAGGGACGAAAGCUGGGGGCACGAACCGGAUUAGAUACCCGGGUAGUCCCAGCCGUAAACGAUGCUCGCUAGGUGUCAGGCAUGGCGCGACCGUGUCUGGUGCCGCAGGGAAGCCGUGAAGCGAGCCACCUGGGAAGUACGGCCGCAAGGCUGAAACUUAAAGGAAUUGGCGGGGGAGCA
rnacentral:rRNA from 1 species